GUUCCUUUUGAAGCUAUCCAAAAACCUCAAUUCUAGAUGCAUGCCUCACUCUUCUCCCUCCAUUCCAAGAGAGAAGCCACCAGUUGGACUCCUCUAGAUUAUGCUGAGCUAUACCUUAUCUGUAGCACUAUAACUGUAGACCUAUACCUGUAGACUCUCUCAUUUGUAGCACUGUAUCUAUAGAACCUCUGAUGCUUCGAAAAGCCACCUUUGCUUUCAGCAGCCUGGAGAUAUCCAAACCAUGCUGAUUUCGUUAGUGCUUGGAAUCAGGCAAACAGAACCCUGCCCCUCAAGGUAGCCCUAGAUAAAAGCUACAAUGUUGAAUGCUUAUUUCACUAUUUUCUACUCCCUAGUCCAGAAGCCACAAACUGAGCUGUGCUGUGUGGGCUUGUGGAAGGGAUAAUUGUAGAUAAAAUUAAACAGCUCUUCUCACCUAUUUCAAUGCAGCUAUUCUGAGCUCUGUAUUUCCCUGGCAUACUGCAAAUUCUUUCCUGGUUCCUAGAAUCCCAUAAAGAUUUUUUUUGGUCUGUACAUUUUUGUUAAUUGACUGUCUGUGAAGGAACCUGGGCUGGGACUUUUUAUUCUAUCAUCUUGCUGCUACAGCUUCACCUGGUUUCUGCUACUGAGUCUGUCUGGUGCUCUCCUGACAAGACUGCCAGUGAGUUACACCAUUGAAAAAAAAAAAAAAAAAGACAUACAAAUGGCCGGACAGGUAUGUGAA
rnacentral:lncRNA from 13 species